rnacentral:rRNA from 1 species
GGCGGCGUGGUUAAACAUGCAAGUCGAACGAGAAGGUUCCCUUUCGGGGAACCGGACAGUGGCGAAAGGGCGAGGAAUACAUGGGUAACGUACCCCGAGCACAGGGACAGCCGCGGGAAACCGCGGGUAAUACCUGAUGAGACCACAGUGCCAUACGGCACAGCGGUCAAAGGGUGGGUUCCUUCGGGAUCCUAUCGGCCUGGGAGCGGCCCAUGUCCUAUCAGCUUGUUGGUGAGGUAACGGCUCACCAAGGCGAUGACGGGUACCGGGACUGAGAGGUUGAUCCGGCGCAUUGGGACUGAGACACUGCCCAGACUCCUACGGGAGGCUGCAGUAACGAAUAUUCCACAAUGGACGAAAGUCUGAUGGAGCGACGCCGCGUGCAGGAUGAAGCUCCUCGGAGUGUAAACUGCAAUCCAGGGACCACCAAGCGAAGAGACCUAAUACGUCUCCGAGUUGAGGAAUCCCAGGGAAGCCACGGCUAACUUCGUGCCAGCAGCCGCGGUAAGACGAAGGUGGCUAGCGUUGUUCGGAAUCACUGGGCUUAAAGGGCACGCAGGCGGCCCGUCAAGCGUCUUGUGAAAUCCCUCGGCUCAACCGAGGAAUUGCGGGGCGAACUGACUGGGCUUGAGGCAGGUAGGGGCGAGUGGAACUCUUGGUGGAGCGGUGGAAUGCGUAGAUAUCAAGAGGAACGCCGGAGGCGAAGGCGACUCGCUGGGCCUGUCCUGACGCUGAGGUGCGAAAGCCAGGGGAGCGAACGGGAUUAGAUACCCCGGUAGUCCUGGCCCUAAACGAUGUCCACUAGGUCGGAGGUUCUCUGACGGAGUUCCGGCCGAAACAAAAGCGCUAAGUGGACCGCCUGGGGAGUACGGUCGCAAGGCUAAAACUCAAAGGAAUUGACGGGGGCUCACACAAGCGGUGGAGCAUGUUGCUCAAUUCGAUGCAACGCGAAAAACCUUAUCCUGGGCUUGACACGUACGGAUGCCCCCU